AGGACACUGAGGUUUUGAACACUGCCAUUCUCACUGGAAAGCCUGUUUCAGUUCCUGUCAAAGUCGUGAGGGUCCAGGAGGAUGGUUCUGUGGUCUAUGUGUCUGAGUCUGUGGAAUGCAAGUCUGCCAAUGAAGAUGUCAUUAAGGUUUCUAGCAACUGUGAAUCCAUUUUAUGAAUGGGAAGGAAAUGAGGCACAUGGUGACCUUCACCUGCAGCACCUUCCCUCUCAGUAUGAGGCCACCAUCUGGACGCCGAGACUCCUUUGGCAGAUUGAGAUCUGGAACAUGGAGUGAGCUACAACAAGGGCUGGAGAAUUUUAGUGGCCUCCAACAGAAGCUGAGAAACCAGAGAGGAGACUGUGGAUCUGAUGCUCCUGGGACUCAGAACCUUUAGAACUCUUUAUAAAUGGGAUAAAACUGGCUCUCCGGGGCUCAGACCCUAGGAAAGAAUAAUCCACAAUAGUUAACAAUGGUCUGGGCUUGGUCAGAUGGAUCUGACUUGCAUAUUUACUAGCACUUUGAUGUGAAAAAAUUAAAAUGGGA
rnacentral:lncRNA from 1 species